GCCAGGCGUGGUGGCUCACACAGCUUUGGGAGGCUGAGGCAAGAGGAUCGCUUGAGCCCAGGAGUUCUGGGCUGUAGUGCGCUAUGCCGAGAGGGUGUCCGCACUAACUUUGGCAUUAAUAUGGUGACUUCCGAGGAGCAGGGGACCACCAUGUUGCUUAAGGAGGGGUGAACCACCACCCCAGGUCGGAAAUGGAGCAGGUCAAAACUCCCAGGCUGAUCAGUAGCGGAAUUGUGCCUGUGAAUAGCCACUGCACUCCAGCCUGGGCAAUACAGCAAGACCCUGUCUCUC
rfam:Homo sapiens chromosome 14, GRCh38 reference primary assembly.